rnacentral:misc_RNA from 1 species
GAUGAAGAACGCAACAAAAUGCGAUAAGUAAUGUGAAUUGCAGAAUUCAGUGAAUCAUCGAAUCUUUGAACGCACAUUGCGCCCGCCAGUAUUCUGGCGGGCAUGCCUGUUCGAGCGUCAUUUCAACCCUCAAGCACAGCUUGGUGUUGGGACUCGCGUUAAUUCGCGUUCCCCAAAUUGAUUGGCGGUCACGUCGAGCUUCCAUAGCGUAGUAGUAAAACCCUCGUUACUGGUAAUCGUCGCGGCCACGCCGUUAAACCCCAACUUCUGAAUGUUGACCUCGGAUCAGGUAGGAAUACCCGCUGAACUUAAGCAUAUCAAUAAGCGGAGGA